rnacentral:rRNA from 1 species
CAGUAGCCACGGUAAUACGUAGGUGGCAAGCGUUGUCCGGAAUUAUUGGGCGUAAAGCGCGCGCAGGUGGUUUAAUAAGUCUGAUGUGAAAGCCCACGGCUCAACCGUGGAGGGUCAUUGGAAACUGUUAAACUUGAGUGCAGGAGAGAAAAGUGGAAUUCCUAGUGUAGCGGUGAAAUGCGUAGAGAUUAGGAGGAACACCAGUGGCGAAGGCGGCUUUUUGGCCUGUAACUGACACUGAGGCGCGAAAGCGUGGGGAGCAAACAGGAUUAGAUACCCCAGUAGUCCCUGUCUCUUAUAC